rnacentral:sRNA from 1 species
AUGAGUGAUCACCAGGAUGGCAUGAAACUUGAAGAUAUUGAACGCCAAUUUUUGGACGUUGCUCAACGUGAAGGAGGUCUCGAAGCGAUUCAGCCGACCACUGGACCACUGGAAAAUGAAGAAAAUCUGAAAUCAUCGACUGGUGGUGGUGGUGGAGAGGAUGAUAAUGAUCGGAAAAAGAGAAAACGAUCGAGAAGUAGAGAUCGCGAUACGAGAAGACGCUCGAGAAGGUGCUUAAGCUGGAAAAAAUUGCAUUUUUUGACGGAAUAUUCGAGAAUUUUCGUGGAAAACUCGGCGAAAAUCGAGUUUUCCGCUAGAAAAUUGACCCAAAAUCGGAUUUUUAGGAGGAAAUUUUGUUUUUUUUUGGCCAGAAUUACGCUGAAAAUCGCUUUUUGCAUGAAAAACGGCUUAAAAAUGACUUCAAACCCAGAAAAUCAACAUUUUUAGAGCAAAAAUUCGAGGAUUUUCGUCGAAAACUCUGCGAAAAUCGAGUUUUCCGCUAGAAAAUGGUCUAAAUUUGAAGAAAAUUGACCCAAAAUCGGAUUUUCAGAGCGAAAUUUGAUGAUUUUCCAUGAAAAACACUACCGAAAAUCCCAUUUUUCCUGCCAAAAAACUCUUUAAAAAAUCGAUUUUUGCUUGAAGAAAUCCACCAAAAUUUUCAUUUUCUUUGCCAAAAAUCUAUGAAAAAUCGAUUUUUUCACAGGAAAAGCGGAAAAGAUGCAAUUUUAGCUGAAAAUCCACCGAAAAUUCGCAUUUUUUACUUUGAAAAAUCGCAAAAAAUCGAUUUUUCCUUCCAAAAACCUCCAAAAAAUUGCAAUUUUAGCUGAAUUUCCACGGAAAAGUCAAAUUUUCUGUCCAAAAGUUUGCAAAAAUUCGAUUUUCAGUUGGAAAAUUGCGUUUUUUGGUCAAAUUCCACCGAAAAUUCCCAUUUUUUAACCUAAAAAGUUGUAAAAUAUCGAUUUUUCCUGCCGAAAACCCCGAAAUUUUCAGUCGUGGAAGCGAGAAAUCGCAAUUUUAGCUAAAUUUCCCACGAAAAUUCCCAUUUUUUUAACCUAAAAAGUAACGAUAAAAUCCAUUUUCCUGUUCAAAAACUCGCCAAAAAUAGAUUUUUUAAUUAAAUUCCACCAAAAAAAUUCGCAUUUUUCCGCCCAAAAACCUCCAAAAAGUCCCAAUUUUAGCUGAAUUUCCAUUGAAAAGUCUAAUUUUCUGUCCAAAAAACCGCAAAAAAUCGAUUUUCCAGUGGAAAAUUGCGUUCUUUGGUCAAAUUUUACCUAAAAAUUUUGAAUUUUUACAAUAAAAAGUGGCGGUUUUUACUCAAAUUGUACUGAAAAACGCAAUAAGAAUGGUUUUUCUGUCCAAAAAUUUGCGAAAAAUCCAUCUUUCCGCCCAAAAACCUUCAAAAAAUCGCAAUUUUAGCUGAGUUUCCACGGAAAAGUCAAAUUUUCUGUCCAAAAGUUGGCGAAAAAUCGAAUUUCCAGUGGAAAAUUGCGAAAAUUUACAUUUUUAACUUAAAAAAUCGAUUUUUCCUUCCAAAAACCUGCGCGAAUCUGACAAAAAUUGCAAUUUUUCUGCAUGAAAACUCAUUUUUCUAGCCAAAAAAGUGCGCAAAAAUCGAUUUUUCCCCUGGAAAAUUGCGAUUUUAGCUGAAAAUCACUGAAAAUCCGCAUUUUUUAACCUAAAAAAUCGCAAAAAAUCGAUUUUUCCCGCCAAAAACCUGCGAAGCUGCCAAAAAUUGCAAUUUUUCUGCAUGAAAACUCAUUUUUCUAGCCAAAAAAUCGCGAGAAAAUCGAUUUUUCCCGCCAAAAACCUGCGAAACUGCCAAAAAUUGCAAUUUUUCUGCAUGAAAACUCAUUUUUCUAGCCAAAAAAUCGCGAAAAAAUCGAUUUUUCCCGCCAAAAACCUGCGAAACUGCCAAAAAUUGCAAUUUUUCUAGCCAAAAAAUUGCAAAAAAAAUCGAUUUUUACACUGGAAAAUUGCGAUUUUAGCUGAAAGUCACUGAAAAUCCGCAUUUUUUAACCUAAAAAAUCGCAAAAAAAUCGAUUUUUCCCGGCAAAAAACCCCAAAAACCCCCCAUUUUCAGUCGUGAUCGUGGAGAACGUCGUGGUGGUGGAGGUGGAGGUGAUCGUGAUCGUUCUCGAUCCCGUGAACGUCGUCGAGGCGGUGGUGGUCGUGAUGAGCCGAGACGUCGUGGAGGUGAUGAUGAAGCCCGUUCGCGCCGUGAGCCGGAGCCCCAGAAGCCUCGUGAGCCCAAAAAGUACCGAUUCUGGGAUGUUCCGCCGACUGGAUUCGAGACAACUACACCGAUGGAGUACAAGAAUAUGCAGGCGGCUGGACAGGUUCCACGUGGAUCUGUACAGUCUGCAGUGCCCGUUGUUGG